CGGGAGUCGCAAGAGCUGUCGAUGACAGCACCCCAGGUGACCCGAACCUUGGAGGUCACGCCGCUCCCGCGGUGGUUCACCCGCAAGUACGAUUCGCGUCCGGCAGCUCGUACGGUCACUACCCAUGUGAUGGAUGC
rnacentral:ncRNA from 1 species